rnacentral:lncRNA from 1 species
AUUGGGUGUCCGGCGAACGGCCGUCGUCUGCGUCUCUGGGGCCGCCGCCUUCGUUCGUCCUCCCUCUUUCCUCAAUUUAAUGGGGGAUCCCCAAAUGAGGAGCCCUAAUUCUCCCAAAUCGGAAAUCGCCGCCGCCGCUCCUGAAAUCUUCGGCGACGUUGUCGCCUCAAGCCAGCGUUGCUCCGUCUGGAAUCGCCACCGCCGCCGUGCACCGAGCCGCUGCUGCUGUCUUUCAGCUUCAGGGGAGGUCGCCCCAAGAUCUGAGCCCUAAUCUCGGCCUAUACUAUCGCCGCCGCCGUGGUUCCCUGGCCGUCAAUCGGCGAAGCCGGCGUCGUCUCGCCUCCUCCACUGAGUCGCUCCGGUCCCGAUUCAGAUGUCAAAGUAGGCAGGGAGUCGAGCCCUGAUUCCGUUGCACCUCCGCCACCAUGGUUCUG